rnacentral:rRNA from 1 species
AUUGAACGCUGGCGGCAUGCCUUACACAUGCAAGUCGAACGGUAACGGGCCUUCGGGUGCCGACGAGUGGCGAACGGGUGAGUAAUACAUCGGAACGUGCCCGAUCGUGGGGGAUAACGAGGCGAAAGCUUUGCUAAUACCGCAUACGAUCUACGGAUGAAAGCCGGGGACCGCAAGGCCUUGCGCGGACGGAGCGGCCGAUGGCCGAUUAGGUAGUUGGUGGGAUAAAAGCUUACCAAGCCGACGAUCUGUAGCUGGUCUGAGAGGAUGAUCAGCCACACUGGGACUGAGACACGGCCCAGACUCCUACGGGAGGCAGCAGUGGGGAAUGUUGGACAAUGGGCGCAAGCCUGAUCCAGCCAUGCCGCGUGCAGGAUGAAGGCCUUCGGGUUGUAAACUGCUUUUGUACGGAACGAAAAGCCUUCUUUUAAUACAGGAGGGUCAUGACGGUACCGUAAGAAUAAGCACCGGCUAACUACGUG